UUAAAAUCCCCACCAAUAAAAACAUAAUCCUCAGACCCACAAUCACCCAACCGUUCCUCAAUUUCUUCAAAAAAACGCCUUUUCUCUGCAUUGGUAGUGGGAGCAUAAAUGUUAAUAAAAACUAUACUAAAAUUAUCAAACUUUGUCUUAACUAAAAGACACCUCCCCUGAAUGACAUGUUCGAUUUCCGUUGAGUUUGGGGUGAACGCUCUGGAAAAGAGGAAGCCCACCCCUGCACUCUGGGAGGUGCCGUGGCUUAAAAUGACCUCCCCCCUCCACUCUCUGCCCCAGUCUGUCUCUAUUAAAUGAUCACUGUGCGUUUCAUGCAGGUAAGUUACAUCAAUUUUCUUUUGGUUCAGCAUUUGAUAAAUCAAAGCACGUUUUUCAGCCUCCCUCACCUCAAAGAUGCUACUUUAAAAGAAUCCAUAUUGGGUAAAAAGCUAAAAAUAAAAGACCAAAAGACUAUAAAAAAUAAAGUGCUGCUGUGCAUUAUUUAAAUCAAAGUUGUUUUCUAACUUUGGUCAUUAUUUUCUUUAGUCUAAAAACUUCUGAAUCUGUAAAACCUGAUACUUCUUUGUUCCUAAUAUGAUGUCUUGCAGAGAAAUAAAAUCAUCUCAAAUUAGGAAAAUAUCUUUCAAUUUUUACACUUCUAAAUCCUUUAGUUUGUUCUAAAAUAGUUUUAAAAGAUUCUGUAGGGUAUCUAGGUUCUCUUAUGCUCGUUUGUGACACAUCUCGCUGGUGUCAGAGACCCAGCUCUCGGCGUUACUACUGUCCGACAGCUCUAUCCUCUGCAGCCACCUUGCUGGCCUGUUUACUGGCCUGCACAGCGGCCACCACAUUCCUCCUUUUGCUUCGCCUCUUUAUCGGGGCUGAAGCCUCCAUCGCCUCCUCUGCUUCAUCUGUCUCUCCUGCCACUCCAGCUCCAAACACCGACUCUGCACUGUUCUGUCCCUCUGCCUGCACCUCUCCUUUCCCUCCCUGAUCCCCACACACUAAAUACUCCUCAUCGCCCCUCACCUGCUCCUGCUCUCCUUGCACACUUCAUGUUAGAGGACGUAGCAAACAAGAUGUAGUCAAAAUCAUCUACUCUAACAUGAAAUCGCAGGUUGAGUUCUUCAUCCCGCCGAUUCAAUAUCAUAAACAGUUGUCUCCUAUGGGAGACAACAUGUUUUAACAACGGUGAUUUGCACCCAGACGGUACUUUUUUCAUAGGUGACACCACCUUCCCGUGCCGAGACAGCUCUUUUAUCAAAAACUCGUCACUUAUGAAAGGAGGCACGUUUGACAGUGACCUUAGUUGAAGGUAAAGUCAGUGGCGACACCUGUAAAAAUAAGCCGUUUACCGAAACGCCCACCUCCACCAGCUGUUGAGCCUGCACCACUUUUUCCACUAACAAGACGACAGCUCCAUUCAUGCGAGCUACCGACUUGAUGGACCCAUGUCCAAUCACUUUUCCCACAGCCAAACAAACUUCCUCCACGCUGCACAGAGAACCAGCACCCACUUUGACGCCGUUCUUCGGUGUCAGCGUGGAGAAAGCCCCACCACUAGACACCAUGGUGUCGUAAGAUGCCGGCCAGUCAGGCACGCCUGACGGCCACACCCGAACCCAAACAAAAACCCCUUAAAACGUGACAAACUAACACAAAAUCACAACUAAACAAGUAACAUAAACACCAAGUGAAAAAACAGUAAG